GAUGCUGCGGAGCGAAGCAGGACGUGGCCCACGGGAGCGGCGGGGGGCUGGAGAUGAGCACGAACCUCGCUUUAGGGGAGAGAGCCGCGCACAACCCCUGCUCCCCACUUCCAUUUGCAGCCGGCGCCUGCUUGCGUGGGAGAAGCUUCUAUCUAUAGCGCGCUAUUUUUAGCUCCAUCAUCUGAGGAACCUGACAGCCAGUUAAUGACUGGGACCCAUCGCGGCGUGUCUGCCGCGCUGUGGCAUUCGCACGCCAGGAGCAGAUGUGCUGAGGCUCAAGGUGGAGAAAGAGAGGCCAGAGAAGAUAGCGACUUGUUUGAAGUUGCCCAGCUGGAUGAAACCAGGUAUCUAGUGCUGUGGCAGCCAUGAGGGAAGACUGGAAGAGUUGGAGUCAACUUGCCUUGAUAUUGUGCUAAGGACACAAACCCAGCAACUGCCUACUUCUAGACUUUUUGUUUUGGAAAACAAUAACAACCUAUUUGUUUAAGUCAUUCUAGUUAUAUUUUCUGUCUGUUACAUUCUGAAGCAUUUCUAGUACAGCCAUCUGUAUUAUCCUUGGCCUUGAGAUUGUUCUGAAGACCAAACAUGUUAAUGUAUGGGAAACCACUUUGCAAACUGUAAAGCACUCAGUGAAUGGACAGUGUUUGGAAUUGGUUUGGAAAUAUUGCCAAUCUCUGCUUUACAUAAGGAAUCUAAAAGAAAGGGCACGAAAGCCAUGCUAUUUCAGGGUGAGCUGGGGAGCAUUUCCAGGAGGAUUUUGGUGAAGGGAGGCACAGAGUCCUGGGAAUAAGGUGACCAACUUGUCCUAGUUUGGCCAAGACAUUCCCAGUUUUAGCACUGAAAGUUCUGUGUCCCAGGAAACCCCUGCAUCCUCGGAAAACCGGGAUAGUUGGCCACCCUGUCUGGAGCAUGCAGCACAGAGACCUACCAGUCACUGCAAAACAUCUGCUUUUGGAGCAGGUUGCUAACUCACCCCCAAGUGCCUGGCCACUUCUUACUGGGAAAUCUAUCAGCUGAUGCACUGCGAGCCAGAACUUACUCUACUCAGCAUUUCAGCUGUGGUUGCUGGUAAUGAAUUAGUGGCUCUUUGAAAUUUUCACAUACUUCCUUCAU